UCUGUCUUUUCUUAGUACGACCAUGUAACUUGGACAAUUGUUCCGCCUCUAAUUAUUUUUAAACUGCACUGAAAAUCACUAAUGUUAUUUCUAGUGAUGUGCCUGCAGUUGAUAUCCUGAAAAUUUGAACAUUCCCUGCGAAAUCCUGGUUCCAAUAGAGUUAAGAAAAUGUUCCUGUUGAGUGAGCAUUUUUGCCUGUAUAUCUAGGUCUAAAUAUAAUUAAACAUUAGAUCCUGAUUUGUCUCCCAACUCAUCCUUAAUAGAAAUAUUGAUAAUCUUUAAUAGAAAUAGUAACUGCAGCUGUUAUAGCUAAUAUUUUACAAACUGUUAGUUUACUUUUUCCAGGGUGAUUCUCCUAUAUGGGAUGUUCUCCUGAGUCAUUCAAUUGAAGUGAAAGUGACAGUCCUGUUUAGUGAUCUUAUUUCAAGAAUUGGGAUGCCAAGUCCUUUUCCAUUGGUGUUGGAGCUAAUUUCUGCUGAGACCGUAAUAACACAUGAAGUCAAGGUAAUUUUACAGGGAACAGGUUUCCUUAAAAGUAUUUCCUAGUGUUAUUACUGUCUUUUAUCACUGCCUGCAUUUUAAAAUACAAUUUUUUGUAGUAUCCAGACACUGCAAUAUUACUCAACUAUUAAAACUAACAGUAUACGAUAUAUGAACAAGUGACAAAAUGGUUUUGAUGGAUGAGGUGGGUUUUAACUGCAGAAGAGAUCAUUUCUACUUGCUUCACUUACGGGUGGUGUCACUGCCUGAAAGGAAGAAUACACAGAAUAAAAAGGCAUUGAAGAACCUGUAUAGAUACAAUUUUUCUUCAGAAAUGAUUUUGUUGUUCUUUUGGGCUGCAGCUGGAAGGAAGUGUUGCUCUUUUCAGACACAUAAUCUAAAAGCAUCUGAAAAAGCAAAGAAUUCUCUCCAGCUUUUCAAAGUGAGCAUAUGGGCAUUGUAUGGAUAUCACAACUACAUCUUAUUAUCCAGCUGCUAUUUGUGUGUAAAUCGGGAACAGCUGCAUGGUUGGCCGGCUGGAACACACUGAAUCAACCAGGUGCUUACAUAAAAAUAUUUCUGAAUAGUUUUAGUCAAUCCCCAUUUUAUUUAGACAGUUACUGUUCCUCACAGAAGAUCAUCGAGACAUCAAGAUAGCAGUUAGAAAGCAGUUUGAAUUAAUAGAAAUAUGGAAACUGUCUAGAGGGGGGGAAAGGGAGCUCACUCUUUCUUCUCUACCUUUACAGAUCGAGAAUUGGGUGGAUUGGGAUUAAAAAAAAAGUCUGGGUGGGUUUAGCAUCCUUGAAAAUGCCAAAAAUGGAGUAAUUGGCUGACAGGUACGGACUGUAGAUGGGGCUCUUUCAUCACUGCCCUCAGUGAAUGAAAUUCUUUUCCUUCCACAUUCAAACCUAAUAUAAGCUUUUUGAUUUCACCCCAGAUGGUUUCACCUUUGAGCUAAGAAGCAGUAAGGUAUGUAUAAUUGGAGCAAAUCAUUCAAUUCCCUUUAAAAAGCAACACAUUAAGCAUGCACAAAUUUUAAAAAGGACAAUUAUAAAGAAACAUCUUUUUAAAAGUGCUUUUGCAGUGAACAAAAAAAAAUAUUUUUUCAUGCUUCUGUGCAAAGUGGGUGGCUACAAAGCAUGUGCAUAGCUUUCUGGAGAUACAAUACAAAAGGGACGAUAAUAAUAACCUUUUUCUGUCACCAGAGAGAGUGCACAAAGAUUUCAUCAGCAUUUUGCACAGUAUGAUAAAAAAUGCAUUAAAUCCUCAACAUCAAUGGAGGUUCAAAGUGAAACAGAACGAAGCAGAAUAAGGCACCCAUAAAGAAAAGAAAUAGCUAAAUGAUAUUAAGGAAGCCAAGAUAACUGCAAAAUUAACAACACAAUAUCUUAUAGAGUCUGCUUCUGCUAACAAAAGACAAUCUUUACCACCUAGCAUCUCCAUUCAGUCCUGGAAAAAAAAAGGUAAUUACAUUCUGGAAUGAACAAAAUAGUAAAGGCAUGGUUUUACGAUGAUAAUUUUAAAUUUGAAGAUACUUGAACUCUGACCUUUCAAUAUAAAGAGAGAUUUGCUGUCUCUACCAACACCACGAUGUUGAAUGAUGCUAAAGGCAGUUUGAAGCCCAGAAUAGGUCCCUGACUACAUUUCUUGAUGUAUUAUUGUCCUCGUAUUGAUGACUUGAUGGCUAUUCUUGGGGGAGAAGUUUGCAGGCUGCCUUGAUGGAAGCAGAGCCCUUUGGGGCACGGUCACAUGCAGCACAGAGCGAGCCAUCAGGAUACAAUACAUCGGUGCAAUGGCACCACUGGCCAGAAAAGGCAUGAAGGGAUUUCCUGGAAAGUGGGAUCCCCUUUGGAAAGACUCCCCUAUCCCUUGCUGAAAAUAAAAUUUGUAAGGUUUAUUCA
ensembl:lncRNA